GACGAACGCUGGCGGCGUGCUUAACACAUGCAAGUCGAACGGAAAGGCCCUGCUUUUGUGGGGUGCUCGAGUGGCGAACGGGUGAGUAACACGUGAGUAACCUGCCCUUGACUUUGGGAUAACUUCAGGAAACUGGGGCUAAUACCGGAUAGGAGCUCCUGCCGCAUGGUGGGGGUUGGAAAGUUUCGGCAGUUGGGGAUGGACUCGCGGCUUAUCAGCUUGUUGGUGGGGUAGUGGCUUACCAAGGCUUUGACGGGUAGCCGGCCUGAGAGGGUGACCGGCCACAUUGGGACUGAGAUACGGCCCAGACUCCUACGGGAGGCAGCAGUGGGGAAUAUUGCACAAUGGGCGGAAGCCUGAUGCAGCAACGCCGCGUGCGGGAUGACGGCCUUCGGGUUGUAAACCGCUUUCGCCUGUGACGAAGCGUGAGUGACGGUAAUGGGUAAAGAAGCACCGGCUAACUACGUG
rnacentral:rRNA from 1 species